GACGAACGCUGGCGGCGUGCUUAACACAUGCAAGUCGAGCGGAAAGGCCCUUUCGGGGGUACUCGAGCGGCGAACGGGUGAGUAACACGUGAGUAAUCUGCCCCUGGCUUUGGGAUAGCCACCGGAAACGGUGAUUAAUACCGGAUACGACCACUUCUCGCAUGGGAUGGUGGUGGAAAGUUUUUCGGCCAGGGAUGUGCUCGCGGCCUAUCAGCUUGAUGGUGAGGUAAUGGCUCACCAUGGCUUCGACGGGUAGCCGGCCUGAGAGGGUGAACGGUCGCACUGGGACUGAGACACGGCCCAGAGUGCGACGGGGGGCAGCAGGGGGGAAUAUGGGACAAGGGGCGGAAGCGUGAGCCAGCAACGCCGCGUGAGGGAUGACGGCCUUCGGGUUGUAAACCUCUUUCAGCAGGGACGAAGCGCAAGUGACGGUACCUGCAGAAGAAGCACCGGCCAACUACGUGCCAGCCGCCGCGGUAA
rnacentral:rRNA from 1 species